GAUGAACGCUGGCGGCGUGCCUAAUACAUGCAAGUCGAGCGAACAGACGAGGAUCUUGCUCCUCUGACGUUAGCGGCGGACGGGUGAGUAACACGUGGAUAACCUACCUAUAAGACUGGGAUAACUUCGGGAAACCGGAGCUAAUACCGGAUAACAUGUUGAACCGCAUGGUUCAACAGUGAAAGACGGUUUUGCUGUCACUUAUAGAUGGAUCCGCGUCGCAUUAGCUAGUUGGUAAGGUAACGGCUUACCAAGGCAACGAUGCGUAGCCGACCUGAGAGGGUGAUCGGCCACACUGGAACUGAGACACGGUCCAGACUACUACGGGAGGCAGCAGUAGGGAAUCUUCCGCAAUGGGCGAAAGCCUGACGGAGCAACGCCGCGUGAGUGAAGAAGGUCUUCGGAUCGUAAAACUCUGUUAUUAGGGAAGAACAAAUGUGUAAGUAACUAUGCACGUCUUGACGGUACCUAAUCAGAAAGCCACGGCUAACUACGUG
rnacentral:rRNA from 1 species